UUGAAACACCGGUUCUCAUAUGAUCACUGAAGUUAAGCAACAUUGAGCCUGGUCAGUACCUAGAUGGGUGACCACUUGGAAAUAUC